rnacentral:rRNA from 1 species
UACGUGGGGGGUAAGCGUUGUUCGGAAUUACUGGGCGUAAAGGGCUCGUAGGCGGCCAACUAAGUCGGACGUGAAAUCCCUCAGCUUAACUGGGGAACUGCGUCCGAUACUGGAUGGCUUGGAUUUGGGAGAGGGAUGCGGAAUUCCAGGUGUAGCGGUGAAAUGCGUAGAUAUCUGGAGGAACACCGGUGGCGAAGGCGGCAUCCUGGACCAAUAUUGACGCUGAGGAGCGAAAGCCAGGGGAGCAAACGGG